GUCUACAGCCAUGCCACCCUGAACAAGCCCAAUCACAUCUGUUCUCGGAAGCUAAGCAGGGUCGGGCCUGGUUAGUAUUUGGAUGGGAGACCACCUAGGAAGACCAGGUGCUGUAGGCA
rnacentral:rRNA from 1 species